CCCGUGAAGAAGCGGGGAUAAACCUAUAAGACGAGAAGACCCCAUGGAGCUUUAAACUUAACUACACCCCUUUUAACUUUUCUUUAAAACCCUAGGCCCCUGUACGUUCUGUUUUAGGUUGGGGUGACCGCGGAGCAUAAAUUAACCUCCACAAUGAAUAGAUCUCUUCUUUAUCUAAGACUCACACCUCUAAGAACUAGUACUCUAACAUAAAAUGAUCCGACAUUCGAUCAACGAAUCAAGUUACCCUGGGGAUAACAGCGCAAUCUACUUCAAGAGCUCCUAUCGACAAGUGGGUUUACGACCUCGAUGUUGGAUC
rnacentral:rRNA from 1 species